UACGGGGGGAGCAAGCGUUGUUCGGAUUUACUGGGCGUAAAGGGCGCGUAGGCGGCCACCGCAAGUCGAUUGUGAAAUCUCCGGGCUUAACCCGGAAAGGUCAACCGAUACUGCGGGGCUAGAGUGCAGAAGGGGCAACUGGAAUUCUCGGCGUAGCGGUGAAACGCGUAGAUAUCGAGAGGAACACCUGCGGCGAAGGCGGGUUGCUGGGCUGACACUGACGCUGAAGUGCGAAAGCUAGGGGAGCGAACGGG
rnacentral:rRNA from 1 species